UACGUAGGGUGCAAGCGUUAAUCGGAAUUACUGGGCGUAAAGCGUGCGCAGGCGGUGAUGUAAGACAGGUGUGAAAUCCCCGGGCUUAACCUGGGAACUGCAUUUGUGACUGGCGGGCUAGAGUAUGGCAGAGGGGGGUAGAAUUCCACGUGUAGCAGUGAAAUGCGUAGAGAUGUGGAGGAAUACCGAUGGCGAAGGCAGCCCCCUGGGCCAAUACUGACGCUCAUGCACGAAAGCGUGGGGAGCAAACAGG
rnacentral:rRNA from 1 species